AGAGACUUGAGAGUUAUAUGUCUGCUUCCUUCUCAACUGGAAGCUAUGAAAGUCAGCAAGGUCGGAAAUCAGAACGCAGAAGAGCUUCCUCUAGUUUUUGGGUUUUCAGAGUAAAGAGAGAAAAACACAACAGCGGAGUCCGAGGCAUGUGGAGAUGCUACCUUUUCUCCAAGCAAGCGGGGCCCACCCAGAAUGCUUUGACAUGGAAGAUUCUGCCACCAUUAAUGGAGACAGAUAUGUUAGAUUCUGAAGUAUUUAGCUCAACCCACCUGCUUUCACUAAGAAAAUAAAGCUUGGGAGAAUUUCCUUCUCUGGAUAAAUGGACCAUUGAAGACUUGAUGUAUUAUUUGUGUUUAAAAAAAGGAUACAUUUUCACCAUUUAAUUCUACUGUAAAUUAAUAGUGGUGGACUGUUGGAAUAGCAUCCUCCUUAUGUUGCUAAAACCAUUUAUUAUCAGAGGUCUGAUCUGGUGGGCUUUCAGCUGUUAUUCUAACAGUCUAUCACUGUUAGUAUCAGCGGUGUUUAACUUUGCAUGUGAACCAUUUAGCCAUGAGUAUCUUGGUAAUUUAGUAAUAAGAUUACAUUAUAGUGAGAACUGAAAACAUGGUUUACAAGUUAUGCAAAGAUUUUAUGAUUAAAGCAUUUUUUCUCUUUCUAAUGCAGUCUGAUAUUUGGCUCCCAUGCAAACACAAUCUGACCUAGGCGAACUACAGAUUCCUGUUACUAACAUUAUUCUCUCAGAUCUGUAUUUGAAUGAGGUUAAUUCAAUUUCUUGCUGUGAAUACCAAGCGUCCCUCUACGUUUUAAAUGGUGAGGAAGAACAAAGUCAUUUUCACCAGGUGGGGGUUCAGGUUAAGCCAUAGGAAAACCGGAUAAGGGAUGUUUCAUUAGAGGCCUAUAGCGAUGACUCAAACCGAAGUGGGUACAAACUGAAGGGGUGUAUCAAUAUGGCCAUUGUUGCAGAGGGCGUAACAGCCCCAAAUGGAGUCUGUGACUCUAGUGCAGGAUUUCACACCCCCUCCAGAGCGUUCACACAACCUGGCAUCUUAGAAACUGUACAAGGAGAUUGAAAGCAUGUCAAAUGACUCCUAUCAGCUGAGAAUCAGACAAAUAAUAAGAGCUCUUGCUGUGGUUUCAUUAACAAUUGUUUGACUUUGCUGGAAACUAUGUCUGCCUCAAAUUUUCAUUUUUAUUUAUGCUUGUCGAUGCUGAGGUGUCCUG
ensembl:lncRNA